rnacentral:rRNA from 1 species
AGAGUUUGAUCCUGGCUCAGGAUGAACGCUGGCGGCGUGCUUAACACAUGCAAGUCGAACGGUGAACACGGAGCUUGCUCUGUGGGAUCAGUGGCGAACGGGUGAGUAACACGUGAGCAACCUGCCCCUGACUCUGGGAUAAGCGCUGGAAACGGCGUCUAAUACUGGAUAUGUGACGUGAUCGCAUGGUCUGCGUCUGGAAAGAAUUUCGGUUGGGGAUGGGCUCGCGGCCUAUCAGCUUGUUGGUGAGGUAAUGGCUCACCAAGGCGUCGACGGGUAGCCGGCCUGAGAGGGUGACCGGCCACACUGGGACUGAGACACGGCCCAGACUCCUACGGGAGGCAGCAGUGGGGAAUAUUACACAAUGGGCGCAAGCCUGAUGCAGCAACGCCGCGUGAGGGACGACGGCCUUCGGGUUGUAAACCUCUUUUAGCAGGGAAGAAGCGAAAGUGACGGUACCUGCAGAAAAAGCGCCGGCUAACUACGUGCCAGCAGCCGCGGUAAUACGUAGGGCGCAAGCGUUAUCCGGAAUUAUUGGGCGUAAAGAGCUCGUAGGCGGUUUGUCGCGUCUGCUGUGAAAUCCGGAGGCUCAACCUCCGGCCUGCAGUGGGUACGGGCAGACUAGAGUGCGGUAGGGGAGAUUGGAAUUCCUGGUGUAGCGGUGGAAUGCGCAGAUAUCAGGAGGAACACCGAUGGCGAAGGCAGAUCUCUGGGCCGUAACUGACGCUGAGGAGCGAAAGGGUGGGGAGCAAACAGGCUUAGAUACCCUGGUAGUCCAA